CUCUUAUCCAGAGUGGUGGAGGGACGGGCCCAAUGAAACCCGGCAACCGGUCCUAAGUAGGGCGAGGUGCCAAUUCCCGCAGAAUAAUGGAUUCUGGGAGAUAAGAG
rnacentral:ncRNA from 1 species